ACGAACGCUGGCGGCGCGCCUAACACAUGCAAGUCGAACGAACGAGAGAGAGCUUGCUUUCUUGAGCGAGUGGCGAACGGGUGAGUAACGCGUGAGGAACCUGCCUCAAAGAGGGGGACAACAGUUGGAAACGACUGCUAAUACCGCAUAAGCCCACGACCCGGCAUCGGGUAGAGGGAAAGGGAGUGAUCCGCUUUGAGAUGGCCUCGCGUCCGAUUAGCUAGUUGGUGAGGUAACGGCCCACCAAGGCGACGAUCGGUAGCCGGACUGAGAGGUUGAACGGCCACAUUGGGACUGAGACACGGCCCAGACUCCUACGGGAGGCAGCAGUGGGGAAUAUUGCACAAUGGGGGAAACCCUGAUGCAGCGACGCCGCGUGGGGGAAGAAGGUCUUCGGAUUGUAAACUCCUGUUGUUGAGGAAGAUAAUGACGGUACUCAACAAGGAAGUGACGGCUAACUACGUGCCAGCAGCCGCCGUAAAAC
rnacentral:rRNA from 1 species